rnacentral:rRNA from 1 species
AAUCAACGCUGGCGGCGUGCCUCAGACAUGCAAGUCGAACGCGAAAGUCCCCUUCGGGGGACAAGUAGAGUGGCGCACGGGUGAGUAACACGUAGGUAAUCUACCUUCGGAUGGGGAAUAACAACCGGAAACGGUUGCUAAUACCGCAUAAUGCAGCGGCACCUAAUGGUGACAGUUGUUAAAGCGGGGAUUGAAAGACCUCGCGUCUGAAGAGGAGCCUGCGG